AUUGAACGCUGGCGGCAUGCCUUACACAUGCAAGUCGAACGGCAGCACGGGGCAACCUGGUGGCGAGUGGCGAACGGGUGAGUAAUGCAUCGGAACGUACCUUUCAGUGGGGGAUAACGUAGCGAAAGUUACGCUAAUACCGCAUAUUCUGUGAGCAGGAAAGCAGGGGAUCGCAAGACCUUGCGCUGAUUGAGCGGCCGAUGUCAGAUUAGCUAGUUGGUGAGGUAAAGGCUCACCAAGGCGACGAUCUGUAGCGGGUCUGAGAGGAUGAUUCGCAACACUGGAACUGAGAAACGGUCCAGACUCCUACGGGAGGCAGCAGUGGGGAAUUUUGGACAAUGGGGGCAACCCUGAUCCAGCCAUGCCGCGUGAGUGAAGAAGGCCUUCGGGUUGUAAAGCUCUUUCGGCCGGGAAGAAAUCGCACGGGCUAAUACCCUGUGUGGAUGACGGUACCGGAAUAAGAAGCACCGGCUAACUACGUGCCAGCCGCCGCGGUAAGAC
rnacentral:rRNA from 1 species